rnacentral:rRNA from 1 species
UACGUAGGGUGCAAGCGUUAAUCGGAAUUACUGGGCGUAAAGCGUGCGCAGGCGGUCCGUUAAGACAGGUGUGAAAUCCCCGGGCUUAACCUGGGAACUGCAUUUGUGACUGCAUAGCUAGAGUACGGUAGAGGGGGAUGGAAUUCCGCGUGUAGCAGUGAAAUGCGUAGAUAUGCGGAGGAACACCGAUGGCGAAGGCAAUCCCCUGGACCUGUACUGACGCUCAUGCACGAAAGCGUGGGGAGCAAACAGG